GGAUUAGAAACCCCGGUAGUCCAUGCCGUAAACGUUGGGCACUAGGUGUGGGCCUCAUUCCACGAGGUCUGUGCCGCAGCUAACGCAUUAAGUGCCCCGCCUGGGGAGUACGGCCGCAAGGCUAAAACUCAAAGGAAUUGACGGGGGCCCGCACAAGCGGCGGAGCAUGCGGAUUAAUUCGAUGCAACGCGAAGAGCCUUACCAAGGCUUGACAUGUACCGGAAACGCUCAGAGAUGGGUGCCCCGCAAGGUCGGUACACAGGUGGUGCAUGGUUGUCGUCAGCUCGUGUCGUGAGAUGUUGGGUUAAGUCCCGCAACGAGCGCAACCCUCGUUCUAUGUUGCCAGCACGUGAUGGUGGGGACUCAUAGGAGACUGCCGGGGUCAACUCGGAGG
rnacentral:rRNA from 1 species